UAAGGAAUAUUGGUCAAUGGACGCAAGUCUGAACCAGCCAUGCCGCGUGAGGGAUUAAGGCCCUCUGGGUUGUAAACUUCUUUUAUAGGGGAAGAAAUGUGACGGUUCUCCGUCACUUGACGGUACCCUGGGAAUAAGCACCGGCUAACUCCGUGCCAGCAGCCGCGGUACUACGGAGGGUGCAAGCGUUAUCCGGAUUCACUGGGCUUAAAGGGUGCGUAGGUGGGCAGUUAAGUCAUUGGUGAAAUCUUCCGGCUUAACCGGGAAACUGCCGUUGAUACUAUUUGUCUUGAAUAUUGCGGAGGUAAGCGGAAUAUGUCAUGUAGCGGUGAAAUGCUUAGAUAUGACAUAGAACACCAAUUGCGAAGGCAGCUUACUACACAAUCAUUGACGCUGAGGCACGAAAGCGUGGGUAGCGAACA
rnacentral:rRNA from 1 species